AGCAGCCGCGGUAAUUCCAGCUCCAAUAGCGUAUAUUAAAGUUGUUGCAGUUAAAAAGCUCGUAGUUGAAUUUCGGGAUCAAUAUGUUUGGUCGUGCCUCGGUACGUACUAGCAUAUUGGUUUCUCCUUUCUGAAGAACCAUGAUGUCAUUUAUUUGGUGUCGUGGGGAAUCAGGACUGUUACUUUGAAAAAAUUAGAGUGUUUAAAGCAGGCUCACGCUUGAAUACAUUAGCAUGGAAUAAUGAAAUAGGACGUUUGAUUCUAUUUUGUUGGUUUCUAGGAUCGACGUAAUGAUUAAUAGGGAUAGUUGGGGGCAUUAGUAUUCAAUUGUCAGAGGUGAAAUUCUUGGAUUUAUUGAAGACUAACUACUGCGAAAGCAUUUGCCAAGGAUGUUUUCAUUAAUCAAGAACGAAAGUUAGGGGAUCGAAGACGAUCAGAUACCGUCGUAGUCUUAACCAUAAACCUAUGCCGACUAGGGAUCGGAUGAUGUUAAUUUUUAAUGUA
rnacentral:rRNA from 1 species